UACGAAGGGUGCAAGCGUUACUCGGAAUUACUGGGCGUAAAGCGUGCGUAGGCGGUUUGUUAAGUCUGUCGUGAAAGCCCCGGGCUCAACCUGGGAAUGGCGAUGGAAACUGGCGUGCUAGAGUACGGUAGAGGAGAGUGGAAUUCCCGGUGUAGCAGUGAAAUGCGUAGAGAUCGGGAGGAACAUCAGUUGCGAAGGCGGCUCUCUGGACCAGUACUGACGCUGAGGCACGAAAGCGUGGGGAGCAAACAGG
rnacentral:rRNA from 1 species